rnacentral:rRNA from 1 species
UAAAACGUAGGGUGCAAGCGUUAUCCGGAUUUAUUGGGCGUAAAGAGUAUCGUAGGCGGUGGAAUAAGUAGUGAGUUAAAGCCUUCAGCUCAACUGGAGAAAUGCUUACUAAACUGUUUCACUUGAGGUUACUAGAGGAUAUUGGAAUUCCUGGUGGAGGGGUGAAAUCCAUUGAUAUCAGGAAGAACACCGAGGGCGAAGGCAGAUAUCUGGGGUAAUUCUGACGCUGAUGAACGAAAGCUAGGGUAGCAAAAGGGAUUAGAGACCCCUGUAGUCCUAGCCGUAAACGAUGGGCGCUAGAUGGUCGAGUCUAACUUGACUAUCGUAAGCUAACGCGUUAAGCGCCCCGCCUGGGGAGUACGGCCGCAAGGCUA